CACUCCUGCGGGAGGCAGCAGUGGGGAAUUUUGGACAAUGGGCGAAAGCCUGAUCCAGCCAUGCCGCGUGCAGGAUGAAGGCCUUCGGGUUGUAAACUGCUUUUGUACGGAACGAAACGGCCUUUUCUAAUAAAGAGGGCUAAUGACGGUACCGUAAGAAUAAGCACCGGCUAACUACGUGCCAGCAGCCGCGGUAAUACGUAGGGUGCAAGCGUUAAUCGGAAUUACUGGGCGUAAAGCGUGCGCAGGCGGUUAUGUAAGACAGUUGUGAAAUCCCCGGGCUCAACCUGGGAACUGCAUCUGUGACUGCAUAGCUAGAGUACGGUAGAGGGGGAUGGAAUUCCGCGUGUAGCAGUGAAAUGCGUAGAUAUGCGGAGGAACACCGAUGGCGAAGGCAAUCCCCUGGACCUGUACUGACGCUCAUGCACGAAAGCGUGGGGAGCAAACAGGAUUAGAAACCCGUGUAGUCCC
rnacentral:rRNA from 1 species